rnacentral:rRNA from 1 species
UACGGAGGGUGCAAGCGUUAUCCGGAUUCACUGGGUUUAAAGGGAGCGUAGGUGGGCUUGUAAGUCAGUGGUGAAAUCUCCGUGCUUAACUCAGAAACUGCCAUGGAUACUAUUUGUCUUGAAUAUUGUGGAGGUAAGCGGAAUAUGUCAUGUAGCGGUGAAAUGCUUAGAUAUGACAUAGAACACCAAUUGCGAAGGCAGCUUACUACACAGUUAUUGACGCUGAGGCACGAAAGCGUGGGGAUCAAACAGG